UACGGGGGGGGCAAGCGUUGUUCGGAAUUACUGGGCGUAAAGGGCUCGUAGGUGGCCAACUAAGUCAGACGUGAAAUCCCUCGGCUUAACCGGGGAACUGCGUCUGAUACUGGAUGGCUUGAGGUUGGGAGAGGGAUGCGGAAUUCCAGGUGUAGCGGUGAAAUGCGUAGAUAUCGGGAGGAACACCAGUGGCGAAGGCGACUACCUGGCCUGUUCUUGACGCUGAGGCGCGAAAGCUAGGGGAGCAAACGGG
rnacentral:rRNA from 1 species